rnacentral:rRNA from 1 species
CCAAUAGCGUAUAUUAAAGUUGUUGCAGUUAAAAAGCUCGUAGUUGAAUUUCGGGAUCAAUAUAUCGGUCGUGCCUUCGGUACGUACUGGUAUCGUUGAUUUCUACCUUCUGACGAACCAUGAUGUCAUUAAUUUGGUGUCAUGGGAAAUCAGGACUGUUACUUUGAAAAAAUUAGAGUGUUUAAAGCAGGCACACGCUUGAAUACAUUAGCAUGGAAUAAUGAAAUAGGACGUUUGACCCUAUUUUGUUGGUUUAUAAGAUCAACGUAAUGAUUAAUAGGGAUAGUUGGGGGCAUUAGUAUUCAAUUGUCAGAGGUGAAAUUCUUGGAUUUAUUGAAGACUAACUACUGCGAAAGCAUUUGCCAAGGAUGUUUUCAUUAAUCAAGAACGAAAGUUAGGGGAUCGAAGACGAUCAGAUACCGUCGUAGUCUUAACCAUAAACUAUGCCGACUAGGGAUCGGAUGAUGUUAAUUUUUUAAUGACUCAUUCGGCGCCUUACG